rnacentral:rRNA from 1 species
UACGUAGGGACCAAGCGUUGUUCGGAUUUACUGGGCGUAAAGGGCGCGUAGGCGGCGCGGUAAGUCACUUGUGAAAUCUCUGAGCUUAACUCAGAACGGCCAAGUGAUACUGCAGUGCUAGAGUGUGGAAGGGGCAAUCGGAAUUCUUGGUGUAGCGGUGAAAUGCGUAGAUAUCUGGAGGAAUACCGGUGGCGAAGGCAGCAUCCUGGACCGGCAUUGACGCUGAGGAGCGAAAGCCAGGGGAGCAAAGCGGG